GCACGUUUUAGCUGAUGAUGAAUUGGGAUGCUGUCCGAGUGAUGAUUGAAACGAUGGGCAUCUGGCCCUCAGGCGUCUGUUUUCAGGAACUGAUGUGACUGGGGAGGAGUCAGUCACUGCACUGGGGCCAACCAGGAAAUUGGGAGAAAUUGAGAGUCUUGGAUGUGCCUGUUUGAAGCUCUGAAGUUGGGUGUCCUGAAACCUAAAAUUGUUCGUGAUUACUUGCUCCUAUUGGUUUAAAAAACUCAACAAUAUUCUAUUUUCCCACUAACUGCUGUUACUCCUGAUAGAAUCCUGUUGAUACCAGUGUCCUGGACUGUUGCUGCUGACUUGGAGAAGGAGCAGGCGAGGAUUGUCUCAGGAUAUCUCAAGGAGAAAAACAGAGCACAACUCCUCUGAGAAAGGAAGGCCUGAACGGAGCAGAACCUUCCUUGGAACUGGUUUUAUGGCUUUGAAGGUGUCAGAAAGAAUGCCACGGGCAGUGCAGAAUGCUUGUCUUAGAGGCCACUGUAGCCAUGGCAAUGGUGAAGUAGCUGCUCAACUAGUUUAGGAGAAGAGGAGGACAACGAGAAGAUAGGAAUGGAAAGAUAUUGACAACUUUUUUUUCCCGGAAUAUGUGAGAAAUCUCCUGGGAAUUCCCUUCCAAAAACUGAUGUGUGGGGGAGGUGACUAUAGGUAGGACAUCUCCCCUGGAGUUCUGCAGCUAUGCAGAACUAUUCAAUUUGUGAAGUUUGAAUAUUCUUAUAUCAUUAUCCUAGCAUAUAUUAGGUAUCUUCUAAUUACUCUCUGUAUAUACUUUUUCUCCUUCCCUUCAACCUUCUGCAACUAGAUUGAAGCCUCUGAGAAGUGCAGGAUGCUUCGUGACCUUACUGACUUAUGUCCCGUGCCUGGCACAUAAUCAUGUGUCCUUAAUAAAUAUUUGUUGAAGUUGUACUAAAACUGAAGUUCUUCUUUACUAAAUGUAUGCUCCUUUCAGUCAUGCAUGAGAAUGCCUGUUUUCCUAAACCUCUGUCAAUACAAGUUAUCA